GGGAGGGGGGGGGAGGCGGGGCCUGGGCUGGGGCGGGGCCGCGGGGGCGGGGCCGCGGGGAGGGGCAGGGGCAGGGGCGGGUUGGGGGCCCCGCCUCUGCCCGCGCCCCCUCCCGGCGCGCCGCGCCCAGACCCCCGCGCCAGGGAAACUGAGGCCGCGGGGUCGGUGACCGCCCAAGGGCACGCGGCCUGAGGCCUUGGAGACCUGUUCAGGCCUCGUUCCAGAAAGGGAAACUGAGGCCCGCGAGGCGGAAGGACACGUCCAAGGUCACUGAGCCCAGCCCCGGGGACCAGAGCCUCCUCCGCGCUCCACCUUCGCAAGGGAUCUUCCCCGCGCGCAGGGUUUACCCGCCUGGAGGCCACAGCCAGGCGCAGGGAAGCGAGACCGCCCCCGUGCCAGCCUCCUUCCUUUCUAGAUCACUCUCCCUGGUGGAUGGGGCGGGACAGCCAAACCUGAUGACCCCCAGCACCUCUGUCCUACUUUGUUCCAGCUCUGUCUUCUGCUGCUGGGCAAGACCCCCAAUCUCUCCCUUGCUGCCAACCGGUGUGAGACCUUGGGGUGCCCGCACCUUGGGGUGCUCUGGGUGGGGUGUCCCAGGGAGAGGAUGCACAGCCCCCUCUGUAGGCCCAGAGAUGCCCAUGGGGCACUUCCAAACAGCACCGGCAAUGUGCCGUUUCGUCUAAUGGACACCCCAGCCCUCUGCCCCUCUGCCCUCCACAGAUUGGGACCCCGAGACACCGGUUCCUGAGCCUCCUAGCACUUGCCAAAUAUGAACCCAUGGACUCUUGAGACUUGGCUGCUGUCACUUCUUCACCCCACUCUGGGGAAGCUGAGGCAGGCUCCAGCAGGCUGUUAACAAGAACGCCCCCCAGCGGCACAGAGAGCACACUGCCGUGCUCAUUAAAUGCUUACAGAUGGAGGGAUGAAUACUUAAGUACUUACAAAGAAAGCUUACAAAGCUGCUUGUGA